rnacentral:rRNA from 1 species
CGGCAGGCCUAACACAUGCAAGUCGAGGGGUAACAUAGAGAAGCUUGCUUUUCUGAUGACGACCGGCGCACGGGUGCGUAACGCGUAUGCAACCUACCUCUUACUGGAGGAUAGCCCGGAGAAAUCCGGAUUAACACUCCAUAGUAUUGUACUUUCGCAUGUUAGUACAAUUAAAGGUUACGGUAAGAGAUGGGCAUGCGUCCUAUUAGCUAGAUGGUAAGGUAACGGCUUACCAUGGCAACGAUGUUUAGGGGUCCUGAGAGGGUGAUCCCCCACACUGGUACUGAGACACGGACCAGACUCCUACGGGAGGCAGCAGUGAGGAAUAUUGGUCAAUGGGCGCAAGCCUGAACCAGCCAUCCCGCGUGAAGGAAGAAGGCGCUAUGCGUUGUAAACUUCUUUUCCAGGGGAAUAAAAUUCUGUACGUGUACGGAAUUGAAGGUACCCUGGGAAUAAGCAUCGGCUAACUCCGUGCCAGCCGCCGCGGUAAUAC